rnacentral:rRNA from 1 species
GACGAACGCUGGCGGCGUGCUUAACACAUGCAAGUCGAACGGAAAGGCCCUGCUUUUGUGGGGUGCUCGAGUGGCGAACGGGUGAGUAACACGUGAGUAGCCUGCCCUUGACUUUGGGAUAACUUCAGGAAACUGGGGCUAAUCCCGGAUAGGAGCCCCCGCUGCAUGGUGGGGGUUAGAAAGUUUCGGCGGUCGGGGAUGGACUCGCGGCUUACCAGCUUGUUGGUUGGGUAGUGGCUUACCAAGGCUUUGACGGGUCGCCGGCCUGAGUGGGUGAGCGGCCACAUUGGGUCUGAGGUGCGGCCGAGGCGGCUACGGGAGGCAGCAGUGGGGAAUAUUGCACAAGGGGCGGCGGCCUGGUGCAGCAGCGCCGCGUGCUGGAUAGCGGCCUUCGGGUGGUAAACCACUUGCGCCUGUGACGAAGGGUGAUUGGCGGUAAUGGGUAGAAAAGCAACGGCUAACUACGUG